UACGUAGGUGGCAAGCGUUGUCCGGAAUUAUUGGGCGUAAAGCGCGCGCAGGCGGUCCUUUAAGUCUGAUGUGAAAGCCCACGGCUCAACCGUGGAGGGUCAUUGGAAACUGGGGGACUUGAGUACAGAAGAGGAAAGCGGAAUUCCAAGUGUAGCGGUGAAAUGCGUAGAGAUUUGGAGGAACACCAGUGGCGAAGGCGGCGAUCUGGGUCGAUACUGACGCUGAGGUGCGAAAGCGUGGGGAGCAAACAGG
rnacentral:rRNA from 1 species